UGUUGUAUGUCUAUAUAGAUAAACAUAUUCUAAAUAUGACAAACACUGGCACUCUACAUUAAAACUUCAAGUGCCUUAGUACCUCCAACGCUAUUUAUAAUAUUCAAUCUGAAAAACUGGAGCACUCUUAGGACUUCUUAAACCAGCAAAAAUCUUCUUUUAUUCAACAUUUCACAUAAGUAAUACAUUCAUGACCAAUGUUUCGGACCCUUUUAUCAAGAUCUUGAAUACUCCAAACUAAAACAUGCAUGCAUUUAUAUAUGCUUUUUUUUUAUUGGUGUAUAUCCAAAAACAGAUUCCAAAAGUAGCAGACUUCUUGUCUGCAGCCUUUGCAAGGUCUCCUUUUUUCCCCAUGCUGGUGCUUUGGGUUUGUUCAAACGUGAUCCAGUGCUUUUUUAAUGAGCUGUAAUACACUACAGUUCGUUUGCCACUUCAGUUAGCUCUGUCGAGCUAAUGGAAGUUAAAGGAAACAUUUCCUGGCUUUCUGACUGAUAGGUGGGGAGGUAUUUUUGCACACAAUUAUAAAAGUGUUGAUUUUUGUUGAAAUCAGCCUGUUUAUAAACUGUCACAAAUGUACCAGACUCCGGGCACAAAAAGCACUUCAACAAGCUGAAGCACUUUAUGAGUGUGGAGUGUUCCUUUUAAGUUUGUUACUGGGCUGUGCAAAAACCAUAGGAGUUUAUUCACUAAUGCUCUAUUCUAGGUAAUUGUAAGCCAAAUUAUUAAAUCGAUGCAGAAAAGUGCUCAUUUGGAAACAACACUUUCAUAGUUAAUUAUUAAAGGUGCACUAUAGUCACCAAAUUAACUUUAGCAUAAUAAGUCAGAUUUUGUGUAUAGGUCAUGCCCUUGCUCAGUUCUGUGCCAUAUAGGAGUUAAAUCGCUUUGUUUAUGCAGUCCUAGUCACACCUCCUUGCAUGUGAGUUACACAGCCUUCCUAAACACUUCCUGUAAAGUGUCAUAUAAUAUUUACACUUCCUUUAUUACAAAUUCUGUUUAAUUUAGAAUUUCUCCUACUCUGUUAAUUCUGUCUUCAAUUCCGUGUUUAGUGGAUAAACCCCUACAUUUGACAGUCCUACUUUAAUACAGACACUUUUUAAAGCUCUAUUACUAACAAAAUAAUGACGUAACAUGACAGACCCACUUUAGAUGCCAAAGUCCAUUUGGACAUCUGCAGUUAAUACAAUACUGUAAAAUAUGAUCCAAGAAAUCAUAACUGAAUGUUUAAAAUGUUUCUAAAUGUAAAAAUCUAAUAAUAUAUGUAAAUCAAAUUAAGAGUGAAUGGACCUUGAAAAUUAACUAGGUUGUUUAAUUUCCAUGUUUAGUUUUAAGUGAAAUGUGACUGAAUUAUUCUGUGUAAUUAAAUAGUUAUGCCACGUACUGAAUUUUGUUUUAAGGAAUCCGUGUCGCUCCUCAC